rnacentral:misc_RNA from 1 species
UUUCCGUAGGUGAACCAGCGGAGGGAUCAUUAUCGAGGCACCUAUUGGGAACCUCUCCGCAGUUACACGCUGUUCCCCUUUGGGCUGCACGCGUGGUCCCCUCACGUGGUUACCCCACCUCUGCACUCUGCGGGUGUCCCCUCCCCGUGGGACGUCCGUCUGCACCCACGAUAUAUGUGUAUGGAUGUCUUACUUUUGUAACUAAUACAACUUGCAACAACGGCUCUCUUGACUCCCGCAUCGCGGAAGAACGCAGGUGUUCGGAAGAGCAAACAUCUG